rnacentral:tRNA from 1 species
GUGCUAAUGCCUUCCAGGUGGUAGCGCGCCGUUCUUAUAAGACUCGUCAGAUUCUUAUGACUCAUCUGGGUUAUGCGGAUGCCGUGGGUUCGAACCCCACCAGGUACG